AGCACAUAUAAAUACAGCUGCUACGUCCAGCACGAGGGGGGACCAGUGGAGGCCCAGACACAACAAGAGCUUCCAGCUCCAGCAGCCUCCUGUCCUCCAGAGAGAGAGCCAGCAGACCUGCCAGCUCUGCAGCAAGCUCACUCCUCCUUCCAGGUGAAUCUGCUCUGUCUGCUGUCCACAGUGCUGAUAGUGAAGAGUCUGGUGUUCUGCUGUGGACUCUCUCUGCUGAUGAUCCACACAAACAAGGGACCGUCCACCAACUGCACACAUGCUGACUGACUGUUUGCUGCUGGACUUUUCUCAUCGCCACGUCUCAUCAAUACAUAAUUAAAAUGUUCAGUGACCAGAAAUGUCAGCUUUGACAUGUUGUCCUUCAUCAUAAAAUACUUCUCUUAAUUCACAUGUUGGAUCUUCAUCCUAAAGUGUAAAUUCAUAUAUUCACAUAUAUUUUCAGUGUUGGAGUUAAAAUUCUACAGGACAGUGCUCUUUUCAUAAUUGAAUCUUAUGUUACUUUAUGAAUUAUUCUGCAUAGUGCAACAGGUUUGUCAGUCAACACAAUAAAAUUACAGUGUUUAUGUUUGAGUAACAAAUUUUAAUGACUUUUAUAGCAACUGGUAACAAAUGUGAUUUUUUCACAUGGGGUUAUUUUCUUAUAAUGUGGAGUUCAGUAGUAAAAGGUUUUUAUUCAUUUUUACAUUAUGUGUAGCUUCUUAAUUGAAACAUUAAUAGACCAGAUUCAGUUGAAUUAUUUGCUGACUUGUCCAUAUUUCAGCAUUUAAUAUCAUACGUCUUUCUUCUUGUUGUUUUAUUUUUACUAUAGAAUCAAAAUGCUGAAGACUGUUCGAAAUAAUUCAGUACAACGUUUUCAAUA